rnacentral:lncRNA from 1 species
AGUCCGGCGCCUGCUGAGUGUACAGGAGCCUCCUGAACUUCGACCCCCUCGACCCAUCUUCAAACGGCACAGCAGUGACGCAACAGGAAGCUUCUUCCCAGACUUCAGGGUCAAUCCUUCUCCAAAGGCCAUGGAUCUGAGCUCCGCUGCCUUGGACACUUUAUCCACCUUAAGGGAGGUCAGCAUCAACCCCCCGUCUCCUGAAAGCCCGCCCUCUACUGUUUUCCCCCGGCUCGUCGUCAGUCCGCCGUUGUCCGGUGACAUCUGUCACAACGUGGAUUCUUCUGGCAACGGUGAAGCAGCAACAACUCAGAAUGGACUGGAUUCUUCCCCCUCCGAGGAGGCCCUGGGCUUGGGUCAUUCGAGGACCGGCUCCUCGGUUUGCUGUUCCCCAACUCAGUUGGGACCCAAGGAAUUCCGUUGGACAAAUGCCCCACCAACCCGGCCACGGGGGCGCCAGUUCUCCCUCCAGUUCUCCAGGCAGUCCUCGAAAGCGUCGGUCCGAAGCCUGCCGAGCCCCAAGGCUUUGGGAAGGCGAAGACGGGGCCUGGCUCGGUUCCAAUCCCGACGAGCACCCGGUCCACCUGCCAACACACUGCAGCUGCCCGACCCCGAGUACGACCAAGACUUCCAGGGAGUGGCGGGGGCCGAGGACGACGAGAAGGAAGGAACCAAAAACGGUGAACCGAGCAAAAACGACGACUCCCAAUCGGUGAGCUCGGUGAACAAAUGAGGGCCAGUCACAGUCACAUGGUAAUAUGAAUCCCAGAGCUGGUGACAAGAAAAGUCACAGGAGGAAAGUUGCUUAGAAAUGUCCAAUCUCUGAAGCCUGAAGGUUUAUUACUUGUUGCCAGAUUAUCAAUGGAGACAAACCGUCACCCUCAGACGGUACUCCAAAGAAUCCCAAUACUGGUGAUCAACUUUUAAGCUUAGGAAAUGAGCAACUUAAGUAAAGAUGGGAAGAGCAAACAACAACAACCACCACAGCUGAGCUUGAUUGGCUCAAACACCUUCCAUUAAAAGCCUUUUUCAUUCCUUAAUAUGUUCUUCAAUAACUCAACAAACACUGGAAGACGGGAAAUGAUCCACCAAGAGCUGAACCUGUUGUGGAAAACAAAUGUGUUGACUGUUAAUAUAUUUAGUGUUGUUUUUGAUGCCAUCUGGUGGCCAUUAGAGGAACAACAGCAGAACAGACUUCAGUUUUGGAUCCAACAUGCAACUGUGGUGACUGCUCAUUAAAUAAAGUACUCAGGAUUACUGACUCCACUUCAAAGGUUAC